rnacentral:rRNA from 1 species
GAUGAACGCUGGCGGCGUGCUUAACACAUGCAAGUCGAACGGUGAAGGCGGAGCUUGCUCUGCUGGAUCAGUGGCGAACGGGUGAGUAACACGUGAGCAAUCUGCCCCUGACUCUGGGAUAAGCGCUGGAAACGGCGUCUAAUACUGGAUACGAGCUGCGAAGGCAUCUUCAGCAGCUGGAAAGAAUUUCGGCCAGGGAUGAGCUCGCGGCCUAUCAGCUUGUUGGUGAGGUAAUGGCUCACCAAGGCGUCGACGGGUAGCCGGCCUGAGAGGGUGACCGGCCACACUGGGACUGAGAAACGGCCCAGACUCCUACGGGAGGCAGCAGUGGGGAAUAUUGCACAAUGGGCGAAAGCCUGAUGCAGCAACGCCGCGUGAGGGACGACGGCCUUCGGGUUGUAAACCUCUUUUAGCAGGGAAGAAGCGAAAGUGACGGUACCUGCAGAAAAAGCGCCGGCUAACUACGUG